rnacentral:rRNA from 1 species
UACGGAGGAUCCAAGCGUUAUCCGGAAUUACUGGGCGUAAAGAGUUGCGUAGGUGGCAUAGUAAGUAGGACGUGAAAGUGUACGGCUCAACCGUAUAUACAUGUCCUAAACUGCUAAGCUAGAGUAUGAGAGAGGUCACUGGAAUUGCUAGUGUAGGGGUAAAAUCCGUAGAUACUAGUAGGAACACCAAUGGCGUAGGCAGGUGACUGGCUCAUUACUGACACUAAGGCACGAAAGCGUGGGGAGCAAACAGG